CUUUCCCAUGCCGCCUGGCGGCAUUUGCACUGGCUAUGGAGAGGCAAGGAAGAGAUUAUCACCCCCUCCUUUUUCUCUGCAGAGCUGGAGGCUGAACCCAGGCCUGUGCAAGCUGGGUAGGCACUCUACCGCUGAGCUACACCCCUAGCCGACCAGUCCCUUCUCACAGGCAACUUCUGAGAAGGUAGAGGAAUCUGUAUGCUGCUGACCAGGUGGUUUCAUGACAGUUUUCAGAGAUACCAGAGCUGAGGCUAUGGAAGGGCCCAGAGAAGUUCCUACUCUGAAGUUAGAGUCCUAGUUCACAGUCCUGAAAACUGGGGAGCCUAAAGAGAACUGCUGCCACUGCUGGAGAAAGUUUUCUGCUAAUGAAAAAACAAAGACCAAAAUAGUUUCCAGAAAUUUGAAAACUGCUCACAAACACUGGGUACUUAUUAUAAGUUUGCUAAGAAGGUGCAUUACAAAAGUCACGUGUACUUUAGCUAUUUAAACUAUAAAUGUCUAUCUGAUUAAAAACUUAACAUUUCUUA